AGUGAACGCUGGCGGUAGGCCUAACACAUGCAAGUCGAACGGCAGCACAGUAAGAGCUUGCUCUUACGGGUGGCGAGUGGCGGACGGGUGGGGAAUACAUCGGAAUCUACUUUUUCGUGGGGGAUAACGUAGGGAAACUUACGCUAAUACCGCAUACGACCUACGGGUGAAAGCAGGGGAUCUUCGGACCUUGCGCGAUUGAAUGAGCCGAUGUCGGAUUAGCUAGUUGGCGGGGUAAAGGCCCACCAAGGCGACGAUCCGUAGCUGGUCUGAGAGGAUGAUCAGCCACACUGGAACUGAGACACGGUCCAGACUCCUACGGGAGGCAGCAGUGGGGAAUAUUGGACAAUGGGCGCAAGCCUGAUCCAGCCAUACCACGUGGGUGAAGAAGGCCUUCGGGUUGUAAAGCCCUUUUGUUGGGAAAGAAAAGCAGCAGGUUAAUACCCCGCUGUUCUGACGGUACCCAAAGAAUAAGCACCGGCUAACUUCGUG
rnacentral:rRNA from 1 species